rnacentral:rRNA from 1 species
GGGGUACUCGAGUGGCGAACGGGUGAGUAACACGUGGGUGAUCUGCCCUGCACUCUGGGAUAAGCCUGGGAAACUGGGUCUAAUACCGGAUAGGACCACACACUUCAUGGUGAGUGGUGCAAAGCUUUUGCGGUGUGGGAUGAGCCCGCGGCCUAUCAGCUUGUUGGUGGGGUAAUGGCCCACCAAGGCGACGACGGGUAGCCGGCCUGAGAGGGUGACCGGCCACACUGGGACUGAGAUACGGCCCAGACUCCUACGGGAGGCAGCAGUGGGGAAUAUUGCACAAUGGGCGCAAGCCUGAUGCAGCGACGCCGCGUGAGGGAUGACGGCCUUCGGGUUGUAAACCUCUUUCAGUAGGGACGAAGCGAAAGUGACGGUACCUACAGAAGAAGGACCGGCCAACUACGUGCCAGCAGCCGCGGUAAUACGUAGGGUCCGAGCGUUGUCCGGAAUUACUGGGCGUAAAGAGCUCGUAGGUGGUUUGUCGCGUUGUUCGUGAAAACUCACAGCUUAACUGUGGGCGUGCGGGCGAUACGGGCAGACUAGAGUACUGCAGGGGAGACUGGAAUUCCUGGUGUAGCGGUGGAAUGCGCAGAUAUCAGGAGGAACACCGGUGGCGAAGGCGGGUCUCUGGGCAGUAACUGACGCUGAGGAGCGAAAGCGUGGGUAGCGAACAGGAUUAGAUACCCUGGUAGUCCACGCCGUAAACGGUGGGUACUAGGUGUGGGUUUCCUUCCUUGGAUCCGCGCCGUAGCUAACGCAUU